rnacentral:rRNA from 1 species
UGCGUAGGCGUCCAGGAAAGUUAUUUGUUAAAUCCUUCGGCUUAACCGAAGAUCUGCAAGUAAAACUAACUGGAUAGAGUUUAAGAGAGGAAAAUGGAAUUCCUGGUGUAGCGGUGACAUGCGUAGAUAUCAGGAGGAACAUCAAUGGCGAAGGCAGUUUUCUGGCUUAAAACUGACGCUGAGGCACGAAAGCAUGGGGAGCAAACAGGAUUAGAUACCCUGGUAGUCC